GCCCCUGUAGGCUAACGGAUAGACCGUGUGACUUCGGAUCACAUAGUGCGGGUUCGAUUCCUGCCAGGGGCG
rnacentral:tRNA from 1 species